rnacentral:miRNA from 1 species
GCUGUUAGUUUGUGGGGCGGUG